GGUCAAGUGAAGAAGCGCAUACGGUGGAUGCCUUGGCAGUCAGAGGCGAUGAAAGACGUGGUAGCCUGCGAAAAGCUUCGGGGAGUCGGCAAACAGACUUUGAUCCGGAGAUCUCUGAAUGGGGGAACCCACCUAGGAUAACCUAGGUAUCUUGUACUGAAUCCAUAGGUGCAAGAGGCGAACCAGGGGAACUGAAACAUCUAAGUACCCUGAGGAAAAGAAAUCAACCGAGAUUCCCUUAGUAGUGGCGAGCGAACGGGGAUUAGCCCUUAAGCUUCAUUGAUUUUAGCGGAACGCUCUGGAAAGUGCGGCCAUAGUGGGUGAUAGCCCCGUACGCGAAAGGAUCUUUGAAGUGAAAUCGAGUAGGACGGAGCACGAGAAACUUUGUCUGAACAUGGGGGGACCAUCCUCCAAGGCUAAAUACUACUGACUGACCGAUAGUGAACCAGUACCGUGAGGGAAAGGCGAAAAGAACCCCGGAGGGGAGUGAAAUAGAACCUGAAACCGUAUGCGUACAAGCAGUGGGAGCCUACUUGUUAGGUGACUGCGUACCUUUUGUAUAAUGGGUCAGCGACUUAUAUUCAGUGGCAAGCUUAACCGUAUAGGGUAGGCGUAGCGAAAGCGAGUCUUAAUAGGGCGUUUAGUCGCUGGGUAUAGACCCGAAACCGGGCGAUCUAUCCAUGAGCAGGUUGAAGGUUAGGUAACACUGACUGGAGGACCGAACCCACUCCCGUUGAAAAGGUAGGGGAUGACUUGUGGAUCGGAGUGAAAGGCUAAUCAAGCUCGGAGAUAGCUGGUUCUCCUCGAAAGCUAUUUAGGUAGCGCCUCAUGUAUCACUCUGGGGGGUAGCACUGUUUCGGCUAGGGGGUCAUCCCGACUUACCAAACCGAUGCAAACUCCGAAUACCCAGAAGUGCCGAGCAUGGGAGACACACGGCGGGUGCUAACGUCCGUCGUGAAAAGGGAAACAACCCAGACCGCCAGCUAAGGUCCCAAAGUUGUGGUUAAGUGGUAAACGAUGUGGGAAGGCUUAGACAGCUAGGAGGUUGGCUUAGAAGCAGCCACCCUUUAAAGAAAGCGUAAUAGCUCACUAGUCGAGUCGGCCUGCGCGGAAGAUGUAACGGGGCUCAAACCACACACCGAAGCUGCGGGUGUCACGUAAGUGACGCGGUAGAGGAGCGUUCUGUAAGCCUGUGAAGGUGAGUUGAGAAGCUUGCUGGAGGUAUCAGAAGUGCGAAUGCUGACAUGAGUAACGACAAUGGGUGUGAAAAACACCCACGCCGAAAGACCAAGGGUUCCUGCGCAACGUUAAUCGACGCAGGGUUAGUCGGUUCCUAAGGCGAGGCUGAAAAGCGUAGUCGAUGGGAAACAGGUUAAUAUUCCUGUACUUCUGGUUACUGCGAUGGAGGGACGGAGAAGGCUAGGCCAGCUUGGCGUUGGUUGUCCAAGUUUAAGGUGGUAGGCUGAAAUCUUAGGUAAAUCCGGGGUUUCAAGGCCGAGAGCUGAUGACGAGUCGUCUUUUAGAUGACGAAGUGGUUGAUGCCAUGCUUCCAAGAAAAGCUUCUAAGCUUCAGGUAACCAGGAACCGUACCCCAAACCGACACAGGUGGUCGGGUAGAGAAUACCAAGGCGCUUGAGAGAACUCGGGUGAAGGAACUAGGCAAAAUGGCACCGUAACUUCGGGAGAAGGUGCGCCGGCUAGGGUGAAGGAUUUACUCCGUAAGCUCUGGCUGGUCGAAGAUACCAGGCCGCUGCGACUGUUUAUUAAAAACACAGCACUCUGCAAACACGAAAGUGGACGUAUAGGGUGUGACGCCUGCCCGGUGCCGGAAGGUUAAUUGAUGGGGUUAGCGCAAGCGAAGCUCUUGAUCGAAGCCCCGGUAAACGGCGGCCGUAACUAUAACGGUCCUAAGGUAGCGAAAUUCCUUGUCGGGUAAGUUCCGACCUGCACGAAUGGCGUAACGAUGGCGGCGCUGUCUCCACCCGAGACUCAGUGAAAUUGAAAUCGCUGUGAAGAUGCAGUGUAUCCGCGGCUAGACGGAAAGACCCCGUGAACCUUUACUGUAGCUUUGCACUGGACUUUGAGCCUGCUUGUGUAGGAUAGGUGGGAGGCUUUGAAGCGUGGACGCCAGUUCGCGUGGAGCCAUCCUUGAAAUACCACCCUGGCAUGCUUGAGGUUCUAACUCUGGUCCGUAAUCCGGAUCGAGGACAGUGUAUGGUGGGCAGUUUGACUGGGGCGGUCUCCUCCUAAAGAGUAACGGAGGAGUACGAAGGUGCGCUCAGACCGGUCGGAAAUCGGUCGUAGAGUAUAAAGGCAAAAGCGCGCUUGACUGCGAGACAGACACGUCGAGCAGGUACGAAAGUAGGUCUUAGUGAUCCGGUGGUUCUGUAUGGAAGGGCCAUCGCUCAACGGAUAAAAGGUACUCCGGGGAUAACAGGCUGAUACCGCCCAAGAGUUCAUAUCGACGGCGGUGUUUGGCACCUCGAUGUCGGCUCAUCACAUCCUGGGGCUGAAGCCGGUCCCAAGGGUAUGGCUGUUCGCCAUUUAAAGUGGUACGCGAGCUGGGUUUAGAACGUCGUGAGACAGUUCGGUCCCUAUCUGCCGUGGACGUUUGAGAUUUGAGAGGGGCUGCUCCUAGUACGAGAGGACCGGAGUGGACGAACCUCUGGUGUUCCGGUUGUCACGCCAGUGGCAUUGCCGGGUAGCUAUGUUCGGAAAAGAUAACCGCUGAAAGCAUCUAAGCGGGAAACUUGCCUCAAGAUGAGAUCUCACUGGGAACUUGAUUCCCCUGAAGGGCCGUCGAAGACUACGACGUUGAUAGGCUGGGUGUGUAAGCGUUGUGAGGCGUUGAGCUAACCAGUACUAAUUGCCCGUGAGGCUUGACCAU
rnacentral:rRNA from 1 species